CACCAAGUAUUGCUGAACCAUCUCAUUAGAAUGGACCUGUGAGUUGCAGGAAGUCCAUCUCUUUGCUUUUGGUGAAAGUCGGUUGAGUUUGUAAAGAUUCUCAUUGCCUCGAAGAGUGUUCCAGGAACGAACUUUCCACAGUAUGAUGACCUGCAAAAGCAGCCCUUCCAUUUACAUUUCAAACUCUAAGUCAGCCGUGUCAAAGUUUGAACCGGGCUGGGGAGGAGGAUAAUGGGUCAAAUGCAAUUAGCAGCCCAGAGAGCUGCGCAUUGCAGUCUGAUUUAUUUUUUUGCCCAUCAGAUUCCAAGAAUCCUAGUGCUUAAAAGCAAAGAAACAAUCACUCUAUUGUUCUGCAAUAAAGCCCAGUUAAUUCGAAAAUCAAUUGCCCCACCAGGUGGGGCACACCCUGGCCCCAAAACAGAUGGGGUCAAAAACUCCCCCAAAACGCAGUCUUGUUAAAUUAAAAACUUGAUCCAGGAGUGGAACAAAUAGGAGCCCUGAAUGGAACAGGUCCACUCAGGCGAAUUCUUUCUUCUCCCACUCCUUUUAAAGAAAAGAAAACCCACCAUUCCACUCUCAUCAGUGCUCGCAUCUCUGUAGAAGCGCAGGCGUCCACCCUUUGCAGUACAGUGUGUUACUUUAAUUAGUCUGAAAAUUAAAGGGCAACUCUGGGCCAAUGCGAAAGAUGAUGAAAAUACAUGUGCAUCCCAUGCAAUCCUCUCAUUUAAUGAACAGUCUUGUAAACUAUAUGGCUCACUUUAAGGCGGUCUCGAGGUAUAACAAGUCCAUUUAAAUAUCCACUUAAUACUUAACAGGAUGUGAGGGACACAGUAUAGCAUACGGUCCCUUCUCAAGUUUCACUGUCUGAAAUGUUUCAAAGCUGACCCAAGUCAACCCGAAAAAUGUUUAACACCCUGGGCUUGAACACAAGAAACUCUGUGAUGAACAGACAUUCAAUUACAUUUUUUAGAAGUGAGAAGCAUUUUUGUAAAAUAGCGACUCUGGAAACUAAUUGGCAGCCGCGAAACUUGUGAGCGAAGGCCAAAUCUUGUGGGGAACUUUUACUACAGUAACACGACUCAAAGAAAAUGGGAAUAAAGGGCAUCUUUGUUUCCCAGUCAAAUUAGCUGAUUAAGAAAUAAAACAUCUUAACGUGUUUUUAAA